rnacentral:snoRNA from 1 species
CCCCAAUGAUUCCUGUCAGGACCCCUUCUCGAUUUUCUUACGGAGGUUUGUCUGUUACAACAUUGGGAGAGUAACCGCCAUGCUCGACUGUCGGCAGCGUUCUGCUGUUUGGCUAGAUUGGUGACCGUUCUGGUCACCGUCAUGAGAAGGUAUUGGGUCGAAUUGAGUUGAAGGCUCCUAUGUCCACUUCGGACGAGUUUACAGGAGUCUUCGUAGUUAUGACCCACACAUUU